ensembl:lncRNA
UUUAAAUGUAUAAUUACAUAUUUAUAAUAGAAAUAACAAAUAUCAUUUAAUUAAUUAAACACAUUAUUAGAUUUUAAAUAAAAAAAAAUGUUUUGUAAAUGCUAUUUAUUAUUAUUAUUAUUAUUAUUAUUAUUAUUAUUAUUAUUAUUUGGUCAUAUGUUCUUAGCACAAAAUGAUCUUUGAAGUUCACUUGUGGUCUCAGACUUUUGACUAUUUUAUAAUAGUUUUCUUUUCUGUACUUAUUUAUUUAUUUUUUUAGAUAUUUGACACUUGCAGUUCUGAAUAGUGGCUAAUGACUCACUAUAUCCACAUCCCUUUCUUUGUCUCUCUGAACUCCUAUCUUUGCACUCGGCUGAGAGGCUGUGAGGGGUCGUGACCUCCGUGGCCUUUUGUUCCCUCAGUGAGUUGGGUUACAGACAGUGCCUCAUCAGCCAUGCUGUAGAUGACCUUCUGUACUCCUGUCCCUCAGAGCUAUGCGGGGCCAUUGGCCUCUCUGCCGCAGUGUUAAAGCUGCCUUUUAUAGAGCAGACUGCCCCAGCAGCAUGCUGGGAGACAAACAGAGACAAAUGGGCUUGGGUUUUUUCUUCAGAAUAGUUAAAUCAACAAGUGCGACAGAAAAAAUGAAUGCAAGACCAAGGAGGUCCAUAGCACCUGGAGAAAGCUAUCCAUUAGCAUUCACAUUCAUCUCAAUGGCAUAUUCUCAGAAUGGAGCAAGAACAAGAAUGCACACAGUCCCACAAACAUCACUAGCGACUAUCCUGGGAUGUGACGUGAAAGGCAACAAUGUCCCUCACCAGUUUUCAGCUGCUAUGGGCCGUCCACAGGCCAUCAAUAUUGAUCACCUUGCUAUAUGAAAAAACCCUAAAAUCCCCUUUUUCCCGAUGUAAUUGACUUGCACUAUUGAUUAAUUAAUUAUAGAUGUUGACAUCAGCAGCAUUAACAUUAGAAAAAUGAAAGAUGUCGAAUUUAUUCAAGUGAAUUAAUUAUUCAUUUCAUUCAUGUAUGCAUAUUUAUAUAUUCAUUCAUGUAUUAAUUUAUACAGAUUUUUGGAAGUUGAAAAAUGCCAUAGUCUUCAAUAGACAUAUGACUUCACAUUAUACUAACAGCUCAGCCUGUCCUGCCUAGGAGGAGGUGAUUCACAACUUUUAUUGCACCAAUACUGCCUACUCAUCUACACUAUCCCUGAGCAGCCUGCGCUCUCCUGCGUCAUACAACAGUGUCCUCCCUGGGACCUUUAACUUCAGAUGACCCCUGGGGGGUGGAGCUCUUCAUUUCCUGCCCUGCUGGUGACUCACACCCAUCAAAGAAGGUGUUUAUCAGUCUGACCUUUCAUGACCUCUCCUGUUUCCUGCUGAUGACUGAUUGACCCCUGUGGGUGACCUCUUGUUGAUUUUUAUCUGCUUUUAACACAUAUCCAGUUUAUGCCUCAAUGCAUCUUGUCAGAAGUGUCAUGUUUGUUCAUGAUCCAAGCUUGUUCAUACUCAUUCUUGAUUCUUAAAGGCAGGAUUUUUAGGUCAAUUGGGAUAGUUUUUGCCAUUGAAAUGAAUAUAUAUAUAUAUAUAUAUAUAUAUAUAUAUAUGUAUAUGUAUACCCACAAAAUAGAUAUAUUCUUGCCUAAAUGAGAUGAAACGGCCAAAAAAUAGAUGCACAAUGAUGUCACUACCUCUAGCAACUCAUAAAUGUGUCAUCUCGUCAUGACAGAGUAUAAUAAUGUUUGUGUAAUGCAUGUACAUUUUAAUUGCAAAUAGAUUUCCUUUUACAUGUGACAAAUCCAUGGGAAUUCUAAAUAAGAAUAUGAUAAAUGUGUGGAUUAUUUGUAUGUGACACAUAUUAGUCCCAUUAUGGGUGUUGCAU